rnacentral:rRNA from 1 species
ACACCUGGCCAUAGCUCCCUGCAGUUCUCACCUGGUUUCCCUCUGAAGCUAGGAAGGGUUGGGCCUGGCCAGUACCUGGAAGGGAGACCUCCUGGGGAAAACUAAGGUUGCUGCUGCA